AAGUACCAUUCGGUUUUUACUAAUUAUCGGAUCGGGUUUGGUUCGGUUCCUUCCGGGUUCGGUUCGGAUCGGAUUUAACCAAUGUUUAAAAUCGUACAAAAAUAUAUUUUUAAGAACCUCGAAAAUUGACCAAAUUUUUUUCAAAAUAUAUAAAUUAUUUACAAAUCUAAUUAAAAAUUAGUUAAACUAUCUAAAUUAACUAAAAAGUAUUCAAAAUAACAAAUAAAACAAACUACAAAAAUAUUUUGAAUACUCUAAAAUAUCUAAAUCACCUUAAUAUAUAUAAAAACAUUAACAUAUUUAACUAAUUUCGGAUAUCAUCGGAUCCAAAUUCGGAUUUCGGUUCGGUUCGGGUUAUAACCAAAGUCCAAAGUAGUAAGCUCAUAAGUCCCAUUUGGAUAUUUUUGUAAAACAGUUCAGAUUCGGUUUCGGUUUUUCCGGUUCGGGUUAAGGUCGGUACUUCGGGUUGAGUUAAAAACGCUCAGGCCUAGUUCAGAGAAAUCUCUUCAAACAAAUACUACUAGUAAUAAUACUAUUCACUUACAUUUCUAUAAUCCUAUUCAAAUCCAUUUGUUAAAAAAAAUCAAAUCAAAUCCAUUAACUCUGACUUAUAAACAGUGCACACACUGAUUUCUCUCCUACCUCACUCUCCAAAAUAAUUUGAAUAAAUCCACCUCUAAAUAUAAAAAUUAAUUUUAAAAAAAAUACAAAACGAGAUUUUAAAAGUAAAUAAAAAAGGAACAGACACUUAGAGCAAUCCCAACGGUAAGAAAACUCGAGCUAAAAAUUAAAUAAAUCAAACUAAAAUAGAAUCCAACCAAUUUUUGAGUAAAUUUCUGUAGAACUAGAGGGUUAAUAUAUUUUUAAAUUAUGUUAUUAUUGAAUGACAUACAUUUACAUAUAUAUAUAUACAUAAAAUUUUAAACAUAUAAUAUAAUGUAUCUAAAUCUUAUAAUAUAUAUUUAAAUCAACUAAUUUUUAUCAAAAUAAGAUUUAUAUAAUAUGUUUUGGUUUGGAUUUUAAAUUUUACGAGCUUUCUUUUAUAAACAGACUGUAAAAAUCUAUAAUAGAUAACUUCCUAAACUAUUUCUAAUAUUUUCUCUAUCAAAUUUAGAAAAUGAGGUGUGAACUAGAUUAUUAGUCAAUAAAAAUAUUUGUGAAAAAUAUUAUUCGACCCGUUCGUUUUAAGUUUUUUUUUUUUAAGUUUUCCUCGUUGUGACUGUUUAUGCUGACAUCACGGCCAACAACAAGUGCUAACGUCAUCAACGGUCAUUGUCGUUCCACACACCAAAGACCAAAUUUCAACUAUGGAGUGUCGCUGCUAUGCCUCUCUUAUCUUUUCCUUUACCUCAUGCUCAUAACAAAUAAUAGUAUAUACCUAUAAGAGAUAUUGCCUUAAUCACUAAUCGACCACAAGAUCGAAUACGUAAACCAUUUUUCUUGAUAUUCAAGUCACAUCAAGAUGCAGACUACGUAUAAUAUUCCUUUUCCUCUUCGUCCUAUAUAUGACCACGGGUGUCAAUUGGUUGGGCCACCCAUGGGCUAACCCAUUCCAAACAAACAUGGGUGGGUGAUGGUCAUACCCAAAUAAUUAAUGGUCCAAUUGGGUUAAAAACCCACUUUGCCCAUGGGUUAAUUGUUCCAAACCAAAUGGAUGUUGGGCUGGCCCAAAAACUUAAUUUCUAGGGUUUAGAGAAUUUAGGAAAAAAUCAAUCAGAAAUAAUUUUUCCCGAUUCUUUCUGCAACCAACGAUUUUUUCCUCCCAGAUUUCUCUUCGUCUACUGUUCUUGUGUUCAUCAAUCCAUACGAUUCUCUCUUCCCUCCCAUCGAUUCCCUUCUUCAUUUCUCUACAAUUUCAGGUAUGAUUCGAUUUUAGCUCUGAUCUCGCGAUUUCUCUACUUUAUGUGUUGUGGGUUUUGUGGGUUUUGUGGAUGAUAAUCUCGUUUCCAUUGUUUCCAUUGUUUACUCUAGUUCUGAUGAUGAUGAUGAAUCGUUUAGAAUAUUGUUUUGUUUUGGGUUGACGUGUAUUGUAUUUCUCUUUAAAUGCAGGUUUCGUUUCUGCUCGGAGUCAUCCUUGUCUUCAUAGCUUGGAUAUACUCAGAGUUUCUGGAGUACAAGAGUGAGAGAGCAAACGUUGGGAGAGAGUGAGAAAAUCAAGCGUUGACGUUGAGUAUAUUCUUGUGUGUUUACUUAUCAAAUCACAUCCUUUUACGAACAGGUAUUAGAGCAAGAAAGUCAACAAUAUUUGGGGAUCAAUAUGUGCAUUUCAACGUCAGCAUCCCUACGCUGAAGACAAGUAAAGAAGCUGGAAGCUGGAGCAAAGUGAAUCAUGAUAUCAGAGUUAUAACAUUUUUUUUACAUAAAACAGAGAGUUAUGAAAAACUGAAGUCUAUUGAAUUUAAUUUACAUCACAUUUGUAUUCAGAAAUUUUCAAUGACAUUAAAAUUGAGUUUAAAUUGAGUUUA